AUGCCUGCAGGGGCAGCCAGCUGCUUCUCACGCUUAGUGAGUGACCAAUGGGCCACAGCUGGGCAACAUGCACCUUCCUUCCCUAUAUAUACCAGCUCUCACACAGCUGAAGUCAUGUAUUUGGGUAUAUCUUCAAGUCCCACCUCAUCCUUGUGGUGUACAGUGAUGAAAAUCUUCUGUGCUGCACAGCUUUUGUUACCUCCUGAGGCACAGCUGUGGGAAAAUAGGAGCUCCAAGAGCCAGGCUGCCCACCAUGGAAGUGGUGCACGGUCACUUCUUUCACCCUCUGCUCAACCCAGCAGUGUGCGCAAAAAACAAUUGUGUUAAUAUAAAGUUUCGCGCAUACCCAGGAACAUGCUACAGGAGCUCAACGCAGCUGUAACACUUCUGAGAAUUGCAAUUUAUAGGUAUUGCAUACUGCAUAAGCAUGCCUCCAUAAAAAUAAAGCCAUCUUUAUCACAGUAAUAAAAGCA
rnacentral:lncRNA from 1 species